AACCUCCGCAAUGUGAGAAAUCGCGACGGGGGGAUCCCAAGUGCCAUUCUUAACGGGAUGGCUUUUCAUUAGUGUAAAGAGCUUUUGGAAUAAGAGCUGGGCAAGACCGGUGCCAGUCGCCGCGGUAACACCGGCAGCUCUAGUGGUAACAAUUUUUAUUGGGCCUAAAGCGUCCGUAGCCGGUUUAAUAAGUCUCUGGUGAAAUCCUGCAGCUUAACUGUGGGAAUUGCUGGAGAUACUAUUAGACUUGAGACCGGGAGAGGUUAGAGGUACUCCCAGGGUAGAGGUGAAAUUCUGUAAUCCUGGGAAGACCGCCUGUUGCGAAGGCGUCUAACUGGAACGGUUCUGACGGUGAGGGACGAAAGUUAGGGGCGCGAACCGGAUUAGAUACCCGGGUAGUCCUAACUGUAACGAUGCGGACUUGGUGUUGGGGUGGCUUUGAGCUGCUUCAGUGCCGAAGGGAAGCUGUUAAGUCCGCCGCCUGGGAAGUACGGUCGCAAGACUGAAACUUAAAGGAAUU
rnacentral:rRNA from 1 species